rnacentral:rRNA from 1 species
UGGGGAAUAUUGGACAAUGGGCGCAAGCCUGAUCCAGCCAUGCCGCGUGAGUGAUGAAGGCCCUAGGGUUGUAAAGCUCUUUCACCGGUGAAGAUAAUGACGGUAACCGGAGAAGAAGCCCCGGCUAACUUCGUGCCAGCAGCCGCGGUAAUACGAAGGGGGCUAGCGUUGUUCGGAUUUACUGGGCGUAAAGCGCACGUAGGCGGACUAUUAAGUCAGGGGUGAAAUCCCGGGGCUCAACCCCGGAACUGCCUUUGAUACUGGUAGUCUUGAGUUCGAGAGAGGGGAGUGGAAUUCCGAGUGUAGAGGUGAAAUUCGUAGAUAUUCGGGGGAACACCAGUGGCGAGGGCGGCUCACUGGCUCGAUACUGACGCUGAGGUGCGAAAGCGUGGGGAGCAAACAGG